AGGGCUAUAGCUCAGUUGGUAGAGCAACUCGUUUACAC
rnacentral:tRNA from 10 species